CCUGCCUUCCAGAGGCAUUGCAGGUGUGUAUUUUGUGUCAUACGAACUUCACUAGGAGGCAGAGAAGAUGAAGGCUAUGUCUAUGCUCAGCUAACUGUCCUGACCUAUGAAUGUCUGAAUGAUUAGUAGCCUAACAUU
ensembl:snoRNA Gm24911 predicted gene, 24911